AAAAAAAAUACGUCUCUGCAUAUUUCAGAGGUUACCUAGCUGCGUAAUUAUAUUUGCCAUUAGAAGACUGCACUGGAUUCCCCUUAUUGGUUUGAAAUUCCAUUAAAUAUAUUGCAAGAGCUCCCAGGUUAAGCUUGAUUUAAAUUUGCAUACAUUUUCAUACAUUUAGCAGAAAUAAAAGAAGGCUACCAGCCACCAGAAAGUCAUUAAAGACUGCAGUUUCUCUAAGGAGAGAGAUCAGGAGGAAAUACCGAGGAAGCUAACAGCCCCUAACAGAUACAAAGGAUACUGGACUGAGAAGAACCGCUCUGUAAUGGAUCUCUAUUCUCCAAACCACUCAGGCUAACUCUUUGAACAAUGUGAAGGACCAGAGCAGGAGGUGACAACAGUGCAAGAGUUUUGGUCCGCACCUGCACUAGUUUAUAUACAAAGGAUACUGGACUGAGAAGAACCGCUCUGUAAUGGAUCUCUAUUCUCCAAACCACUCAGGCUAACUCUUUGAACAAUGUGAAGGACCAGAGCAGGAGGUGACAACAGUGCAAGAGUUUUGGUCCACACCUGCACUAGUUUUUGUGUGUGUGUGUGUGUGUGUGUGUGUAUUUAUAAAUCAACAGUUUCACAGAGUGAACACUUUUAGUAGCUGUUGAUGUCUUUAUAGUCCACUGAUCCUCACAUUUAUUACCAGGGUAUUUCAAGUCAGUCUUCACAAAUCCAAGUUCCCGGAGGCAUUUCCGAUAAAGAAAGGGUCUAUAAUAUUUGAAUUUUAUACUACUUUUUUUUUUUCUUCUUCUUUCUACUGUUUACACGUUCCCCAUGAACCACACUCAUUCCUUGACUGCAGUGUGAGUUCAAUGAGCUGCCUUUGUUGUAAACUUCAGUUGCUCUUACAGUAGAUUAUGAUUACAAGCUCUGCACAUCAAGCCUCGUUUGAUUUCUAGGAUGUUAUUUGGUUAGUCUCCAAAUGGUUGAAGAUCAUGCAAAACAAUUUUAAUAAAAAGAAAAGAAAAGAAAAAAAAACAACAACAAAAACUGUUAGGUGACCUAAACAUAUCGUUCAUUCAAGCUAACGUAGCUAGCUACUGUACAGUGGAUGUAAAAAUACGUUAUGUGAUGUGUAAAAGAAAAAAAAAGAAAAGAAAAAGAGAGAGAGAGAGCGUUAAUGUGGUCUAGUUAUAUAACUACCAGAAUUCCAGUUAAAAAUAAAAAGAAAUAUUUUCUGGAGGAAAAGAAAAUGAAAAAAAAAAUAAUAAAAAAUCUCCCAAAAAAACAACAACUAAAAUAACCUCAGUGCUCAAGUGUGCACACCCCUUAACUAAUAUGUCGUUACAGUACCUUUUUCUUGUAAUACCACGCUUGGUCUUUUUGUGGUAGGGUCUACCAAGUACCAGCAUACAUUGAUUCAGUAGUUUUAUUCCACUCUUCCUUAUAAAAAUGCUCCAGAUCUAUCAAAUUGCAAAGGGAUCUCCUGUGCACAGCCCUCUUCGAAUUAUUUCACAGAAUUUUUAUUUAUUUAUUUUUUCAAUGGGAUUGUUGACAUGGGGUUGUUCUCCAAAAAGGCUCUAUCAGACUAUACCACGUUUUGCCACAUGGUUUGGGGUGAUUUAUUCAGCCUUGGAUCUUUUACUUUGUGAGAAAUGGCUUCUGCCUAGCGUGCAGAUUAUGAGAGAUUGUUGUCACAUGCAGGGCGUGAUCAGUUCUUGCCAGAUAUUCCUGUAGCUCUUCUAAUGUUGCCAUAAGUCUCUUGGCAGCCUCCUUCUUCUUGUCCAUUAGUCUUUUUUUUUAUAUAGAGCUAUGUCUUGUUUUGGUAAUGCCCCUGGUCUGGGUGCCCCAAUUUUCUCCACUUGUUGAGGAUGGCCUUCGAUGUGUUCCACAGUACAGCAAAUGUUUUGGAACUUCUUUUUUUUUUUUUUUGCGCCUCUCCUGAUGAAUGACCUUUGACAUUGAGAUCACGCACAUGUCCUUUGUGGACAGUCCCAUGGGAGCAGCAAGAUAUCAAGACAAUCAUCCGGAAACAUUUUGAUCUUUAUUUGUAUGAAAGUUACUUUUGAACGAG
ensembl:lncRNA